rnacentral:rRNA from 1 species
UACGUAGGGCGCAAGCGUUAUCCGGAAUUAUUGGGCGUAAAGAGCUCGUAGGCGGUGUGUCGCGUCGGCCGUGAAAACCUGCAGCUUAACUGUGGGCUUGCGGUCGAUACGGGCAUCACUGGAGUUCGGCAGGGGAGACUGGAAUUCCUGGUGUAGCGGUGAAAUGCGCAGAUAUCAGGAAGAACACCCGUGGCUAAGGCGGCUCUCUAGUACGGUACUGACGCUGAGACGCGAAAGCGUGGGGAGCGAACAGG